rnacentral:rRNA from 2 species
GAAGGUUGGGUAACACUAACUGGAGGACCGAACCGACUAAUGUUGAAAAAUUAGCGGAUGACCUGUGGCUGGGGGUGAAAGGCCAAUCAAACCGGGAGAUAGCUGGUUCUCCCCGAAAGCUAUUUAGGUAGCGCCUCGUGAAUUCAUCUCCGGGGGUAGAGCACUGUUUCGGCUAGGGGGCCAUCCCGGCUUACCAACCCGAUGCAAACUGCGAAUACCGGAGAAUGUUAUCACGGGAGACACACGGCGGGUGCUAACGUCCGUCGUGAAGAGGGAAACAACCCAGACCGCCAGCUAAGGUCCCAAAGUCAUGGUUAAGUGGGAAACGAUGUGGGAAGGCCCAGACAGCCAGGAUGUUGGCUUAGAAGCAGCCAUCAUUUAAAGAAAGCGUAAUAGCUCACUGGUCGAGUCGGCCUGCGCGGAAGAUGUAACGGGGCUAAACCAUGCACCGAAGCUGCGGCAGCGACACUGUGUGUUGUUGGGUAGGGGAGCGUUCUGUAAGCCUGUGAAGGUGUGUCGUGAGGC